rnacentral:rRNA from 1 species
GACGAACGCUGGCGGCGUGCCUAAUACAUGCAAGUAGAACGCACAGUUUAUACCGUAGCUUGCUACACCAUAGACUGUGAGUUGCGAACGGGUGAGUAACGCGUAGGUAACAUGCCUGGUAGCGGGGGAUAACUCUUGGAAACGAUAGCUAAUACCGCAUAAUAUUAAUUAUUGCAUGAUAAUUAAUUGAAAGGUGCAAUUGCACCACUACCAGAUGGACCUGCGUUGUAUUAGCUAGUAGGAGAGGUAACGGCUCACCUAGGCGACGAUACAUAGCCGACCUGAGAGGGUGGUCGGCCACACUGGGAAUGAGACACGGCCCAGACUCCUACGGGGGGCAGCAGUAGGGAAGCUUCGGCAAAUGACGAAAGUCUGACCGAGCAACGCCGCGGGAGUGAAGAAGGUUUUCGGAUCGUAAAGCUCUGUUGUAAGAGAAGAACGGUAGUGGGAGUUGAAAGUUCACACUGUGACGGUAUCUUACCAGAAAGGGACGGCUAACUACGUG